rnacentral:rRNA from 1 species
GAUGAACGCUGGCGGCGUGCUUAACACAUGCAAGUCGAACGGUGAAGGCGGAGCUUGCUCUGCUGGAUCAGUGGCGAACGGGUGAGUAACACGUGAGCAAUCUGCCCCUGACUCUGGGAUAAGCGCUGGAAACGGCGUCUAAUACUGGAUACGAGCUGCGAAGGCAUCUUCAGCAGCUGGAAAGAACUUCGGUCAGGGAUGAGCUCGCGGCCUAUCAGCUUGUUGGUGAGGUAACGGUUCACCAAGGCGUCGACGGGUAGCCGGCCUGAGAGGGUGACCGGCCACACUGGGACUGAGAGACGGCCCAGACUCCUACGGGAGGCAGCAGUGGGGAAUAUUGCACAAUGGGCGAAAGCCUGAUGCAGCAACGCCGCGUGAGGGACGACGGCCUUCGGGUUGUAAACCUCUUUUAGCAGGGAAGAAGCGAAAGUGACGGUACCUGCAGAAAAAGCGCCGGCUAACUACGUG